rnacentral:piRNA from 1 species
UAUGACAAGUGUAUGAUAUUCCUAGGAUAU